rnacentral:rRNA from 1 species
AACGCUGGCGGCAGGCUUAACACAUGCAAGUCGAGCGGGCGUAGCAAUACGUCAGCGGCAGACGGGUGAGUAACGCGUGGGAACGUACCUUUUGGUUCGGAACAACACAGGGAAACUUGUGCUAAUACCGGAUAAGCCCUUACGGGGAAAGAUUUAUCGCCGAAAGAUCGGCCCGCGUCUGAUUAGCUAGUUGGUGAGGUAAUGGCUCACCAAGGCGACGAUCAGUAGCUGGUCUGAGAGGAUGAUCAGCCACAUUGGGACUGAGACACGGCCCAAACUCCUACGGGAGGCAGCAGUGGGGAAUAUUGGACAAUGGGCGCAAGCCUGAUCCAGCCAUGCCGCGUGAGUGAUGAAGGCCCUAGGGUUGUAAAGCUCUUUUGUGCGGGAAGAUAAUGACGGUACCGCAAGAAUAAGCCCCGGCUAACUUCGUGCCAGCAGCCGCGGUAAUACGAAGGGGGCUAGCGUUGCUCGGAAUCACUGGGCGUAAAGGGUGCGUAGGCGGGUCUUUAAGUCAGGGGUGAAAUCCUGGAGCUCAACUCCAGAACUGCCUUUGAUACUGAAGAUCUUGAGUUCGGGAGAGGUGAGUGGAACUGCGAGUGUAGAGGNGAAAUUCGUAGAUAUUCGCAAGAACACCAGUGGCGAAGGCGGCUCACUGGCCCGAUACUGACGCUGAGGCACGAAAGC